AAUAUUAGCAUUUUAGCACAGUUUUAAAGACUAGCAGAGAAAGGAUGCAGUCGGACAAGGUCUAGAACUUUGACAGCUGCAACAGUGGCUACGCAGAGCAACACCCAGUAAUCAAAAGAAAACACUGGAAAAAGAUUAAAACUCAGAGACAAGACUUAAAAACCAGGAGAACUGAAAAGAUGACUGAAGAGGCUUACCAGGAGUUGAGAUGAGGUUGAGACACCUGGAGACCCUCAUGAAAUAAUGACAUUAGCAGAAAGCAGUAUAGGGCAUUUUCUGUUCAGAAAGAAAAAAACCAAAAAUACACAGAGAAUUACUUGUGAAGUGACUGCUAAAACAAGAGAGGACAAAACCAAAGCAUCAAGCUUUUACAACGAUCUCCUAAUACCAGCAAUCAAAUACCUGGCUACAUUUCAGCUCCAACAAUUGCAGCUGCAGUCCCACCUCAGUAUAAGUGAGAAAUACAAGCAAGUAAGUGCCAACUGGGUUUCAGUCUCAAAUACUUCAGUAUCUCCUGCCCUGAAGGACAUUUUGAACUGCAGUGGUGGUAAAAGCCUUCCUGCAUGAACUCCUUAAGGCUCCUUUACAACAACCCCUUUACUGAGGAAACAGAGAAGUGUCUGUAUUUUAGCAAAACAACCUGUUUUCCAAGUUCUAAAAAUAGAAAAGAAAAAAAAUAUUAAAACUGUCUGUCAUUUUGAAAGCACUCACAAGCAUUUCAUCCUAAGCAACACAGCCUCCCC